rnacentral:rRNA from 1 species
GACGUAGGGUGCGAGCGUUGUCCGGAUUUAUUGGGCGUAAAGAGCUCGUAGGCGGCUCGUCGCGUCGACCGUGAAAACCCGCGGCUUAACUGCGGGCUUGCGGUUGAUACGGGCGGGCUAGAGUUCGGUAGGGGAGACUGGAAUUCCUAGUGUAGCGGUGAAAUGCGCAGAUAUCAGGAAGAACACCUAUGGCGAAGGCAGCACUCUGGGACGGUACUGACGCUGAGACGCGAAAGCGUGGGGAGCGAACAGG